GAGAGAGGAAAAGAAAAAGGUUUUCACAUGCAUUAUUUUAUGAUGUAUUACAACUUUUCAAAUCUAUCAAGGUAAAAUACUUUUUUAAAAGUAGUUUGUUUUAUUAUGCUUUUAUGUAUUUAAUUAAAUAUGCAUGAAUUGUUAGUGGACCUUCAAGUUCGUUAAUAAGAGAUAUGAAAUUCGUUGAGUAUUUAAGAGGAUCUAUGAUGGGUGUGUCACUUUGUCACCGAUAUACUCCAUAAGAAAAGAGUGGUAUAAAGUAUUUAUUUAAUUGUUAUAUAAUUGUCUAUGAAAACUGUACAUAUCUUACUUGGUAUUUAAAUACUCGCUUUUAUAAUAAUUUUUCAGGUUAGUUCGGGUCGAUUGGAAUGCGGCAAGAUGGUGAUACAGACUGCCAAGAGGAUUCAAAAAACAAAAAAGCAUUACGUUUUUUAUCUUCCAAUUUACUACUUUAGUUUGUUCAAGGACAUGUCAUUUAAUUAGCGAGGAGAUUAUUUUUUUUUAGG
rnacentral:lncRNA from 1 species